rnacentral:sRNA from 1 species
AUGCUGCCACGGGGACUGAAGAUGGCGCCGCGAGGUGAGAUUCCGGAGGUAAACGGUUGUCCUCCACCCCGCUGGAAAUCCUGUUCUUUCUGAACGGGUGGUAUAAUGCUACCUAUUUCCUGCUGGAACUUUUCAUAUUUCUGUAUAAAGGUGUCCUGCUACCAUAUCCAACAGCUAACCUAGUACUGGAUGUGGUGAUGCUCCUCCUUUAUCUUGGAAUUGAAGUAAUUCGCCUGUUUUUUGGUGAGUGUUGUCCAGAGAAUAUUUCCACUCCUUAUGAGACAAGCUGGUAUCUGUAACUUGAUUAACAAGAAAAGUACAUAACCUAGGUUGACUAUCAGAGACUGGAUCUGUAUAUCCUAUUACUCCGUCUCUGAAGUUUCAAGUUGCUGCUUCAUACAUUGGGUCAAGAUUUACCUGUUUGUUGCUCUGUAAGGCUAGAGAUGGGCAAUAGAAUGGGAUAUUAGAUGAUUCCUUCCCAGCUGCCUAACUGCAAGAAGAGUGCUUGGUUCUUCUCACUAGUAUUCUUAGGGGAAUAGGUUCAGUUGUAACUCCAUGUCAGGGCAGG